AUGCUUUACACAUGCAAGUCGUACGGAAAGUAUUUGAAUUUAUUCGUUUACUUUUAGUGGCGGACGGGUGAGUAACACGUGAGAAUCUGCCUUUAGGAGGGGGACAACAAAUCGAAAGAUCUGCUAAUACCCCAUAUGUCAUUAGAUGAAAUGAAUUUAUUCGCCUAAAGAGGAGCUCGCGGCUGAUUAGCUAGUUGGUAAGGUAAUGGCUUACCAAGGCGACGAUCAGUAACUGGUUUGAGAGGAUGAUCAGUCACACUGGAACUGAGACACGGUCCAGACUCCUACGGGAGGCAGCAGUGGGGAAUUUUCCGCAAUGGGCGAAAGCCUGACGGAGCAAUACCGCGUGAGGGAUGAAGGCUUACUGAGUUGUAAACCUCUUUUUUCAAGGAAGAAGUUCUGACGUUACU
rnacentral:rRNA from 1 species